ACUGGGGCGCUACAGUACCUGGAGCUGGGCAGUCUUCUCAUCAGAGUGGGGACUAAUAACAGUGACCUCCCCGCCAGGUCCUGUGUGUUGCCGGCUGAAGAAGGGUAGCUGAAAAAUUCAGACCCAGCACAGUGUUUAUGUUGGUCAAAAAUAGAAAACUAUGUCUGGCGUGGCCGAGGCGGGAGGACCCUUCAGGCCAAGAGCAGCCUAGCAACAUGGCGCAACCCCAUCUCUGUAGUCCUACCUCAGACCCCCAGCUACUUGAACCCAAAGGUUCAAGGCUCCAGUGAGCUAUGAUCCCACCACAGCAUUCCAGCCUGCGAGAUUGAGAUGAUGAUUAUUCCCCACCUUCUGAGAGACAAAGACCAACGAGCCACCACAGCCACCAGUCCCAGAACCCGCCAAUGCUGGGGAACGGAAAAUGAGGGAGUUCAACUCUGGCCCUCACAAUCCAGUGGAGGAGACGAAACUCAUCUGCCUCUGUCCCUCUGGGCACGCUUCAUGCCAGGUGCAUCUGUGGACAGGGGCCAUGCUCCUGGGCUUCCAAAGUUGGAGAAAGCUGCCAGGCUCAGGUCUGAAGGCCAGAAUUCUACAGUAAGUCCUACUGAGUCAAGGUGGGAGCAGGGUCGGUGGCUUCUGAGGCUCUGUGGGAGAAUCUGUUUCCUGGCCGUGGAGGUGGCCUGCACUCCUCAGCUUGUGCUGCCCGUCUCGAAUGACUGGAGUUUCCUGCUUCUGUCACUACACCUCCCACCCUCUCCAUCACCUGCUCUGCUCUUAUAAGGAUCUGGAGAAAUGGAAUAAUCGUAUCGCUGAUCUACGUAAACAAAUUGAAGAAUUGUCUGAAAGAAAGUAUGACAUGAACUUAUGAAUUCAACAGGUGAAGAUUUACAACUUGAUAAAUCAGCUUCGUGAGCUCGAGCUGUAAAAGCCAAAGGUCCGGUGAUGAUCCCAUACCCUUUUUUCCAGUCUCAUGUUGAAGAUUUUUAUGUAGAAGGCCUUCCCAAAGGAAUUUUUUUUUUUUUUUUUUUUUUUUUUGAGAUGGAGUUUUCGCUCUUAUCGCCCAGGCUGGGGUGCAAUGGUGCAACCUUGCUGGUCACUGCAACCUCUGCCUCCUGGGUUCAGGAAAUUCUCCUGCCUUAGCCUCCCAAGUCGCUGGGAUUACAGGUGCCCACCACCACACCAGGCUAAUUUUUGUAUUUUUAGUGGAGAUGGGGUUUCACCAUGUUGGCCAGACCAGUCUUGAACUCCUGACGUCAAGUGAUCUUCCCGCCUCGGCCUCCCAGAGUGCUGAGAUUACAGACAUGAACCCAUGCCUGGCCAGGAAUUUUGUUUUUUAGGAAGGCUUUCUACUAAUGGAAUUCCUGGCCUUGAGAGGAUAUUACUUUCGAAGGAAAGGAUUUUUUUGUUAUUAAAAGAGCCACCUAAGCUGAAGAUUCCCUUGAGAACAAGUACUGUCCUGUGGUUUCAUGGCCUUUCUUCCAUUUGUGGUUCUUGUGAAGUGGAAUUUAAAUGACAUCUUAUCAAGAUGGAUAAACCCUAGUUUCCCAGUGCUGGAAUAUAGAAAAUGGAUGGACAAGUAAAUCCCACUCAUCACCCAUAGUCCAGGCAUGGGGACCUCAACACACCUGAGCCCCAGACAUCACCUUUCAUUCUGGACCUACCAUGAAAGACUUCUGAAUCCAGGAAGAGAGACUGACUGGGCAACAUGUUGUUCAGAAACAGGACCUUGCCCUGUCAUUUAGGAUGGAGUUCAGUGGUCCAAUCAUGGCUCAUUGUAGCCUCAAACUCCCAGGCUCAAGCAAUCCUACCAUGUCAGCCUUCCCAGUAGCUGGGACUACAGGUAAGCAUCGUGACACUCAGUGAAUUUUGUUUUUAUUUUUUUGUAGAGAUGGGGCCUCAGUAUGUUGCCACGGCUGACCUUGAAUUCCUGCACUCAAGGGAUUUUCCUGCCCUGGCCUCCCAAAGUAUUGGUAUUACAGGCAUGAGCUAUUGUGCCCACCGUCUCUGGUUCUUAACCUUCUGCCUCCCUCUUCCAGUUUUAAAGAAUGCUUGUAAUUACAUGGGCUCUCCUAGAUACUCCAGGAUAAUCUUGUUUUAAGGUCAGCUGAUGAGCAACAUUAAUUUUAUCUGCACUCUUAAUUCCCCCUUCCUAUGUAAUUGUGCUGUGUAACAUAGGACAUGAGCAAUUGGUGGCGGCGGUGGGGGUUAUUACUUUGGCCACCACAGUAACUAUUUUAUGCCAGGUACUCAGCUAAGCAUUGGUGAAUUAAGCAUGAAUAACACACACUCCCUAAUCUCCAUCCAUUCAUGGGAGGAGCACCUCACCUGCCAUGCUCCUGAGAAUCUCGGCAGUCAAAGAAGUCUUCUAUGAGGAGGUGAUGCCAAAGCGGACAAGUGACAGAGGAGUCGAAGCUAGCUAGGAAGAGAGUAGAGGUUUAAGGGGAAGCAUAUUAUAAGCAGAGGAUAUCACCCACUUCAGAGACUCCCAGAGGAGAAGGAGUGGGCGUUCAAGGGGCAGAUGAAGCUCAGUUGGACUCCAUAGCAGAUGAAAUGGAGAGGGGCAAGCAGUGAGGCUGCCUUGCAAGGCAGGGCAGAGCAGGGGCUGUUAAGGAGUUUGGACUUAAUCCCUGAGGCAAGGAGAAGUGAUGUAAAUGGGGGAGUAACAUGAUGAGAUUCAUGGAUUAGAGACAUGGCUCAGGCUGCUGUAGAGAAGGCACCAGGGAGAGCAGAUGGCUCAAUGGGUGUGCAGGAUACCUCUCACUGAGUUUAGGGAAAGGUUUUUAAAACAGAAGAAGUUUGAGUAAUUUAAAUUAUGAUGGGAAGGAGCUAAAAGUGGGGGAUAGGUUAAAGAUACAGGAAAGUGGGAGGAAGAACUGACAAGUGAGGUUCCAGAGAGGGCAGGAGAAGAGGAGAUUCCCAUAGGGGGAUUAACACUUUCUUUUCUUUUUUCUUUCUAAGACAGGGUCUCACUCUGUCGCCCAGGCUGGAGUGCAGUGACACAAUCUUGGCUCACUGUAGUGUAGACUUCCCAGGCUCAAGGGAUUCUCCCACCCCAGACUCCCAAGUAGCUGGAACUACGGGUGUGCACCACCACCACACCUGGCUAAUGUUUCUUUUUUUGGUAGACACAGAGUCUCACUAUUUAGCGCUGAUUGGUCUCCAACUCCUGGCCUCAAGCGAUCCUCCUGCCUAGGCUUCCCAAAUUGCUGGGAUUACAGGCAUGAGCCACAAUGCCUGGCCUCUGCUAGUUCCAUAUUCUCUAGAGUUGUCUUUACUUUCUGCUAGUGUGUCCCUCAUUGUGCUGAUCCUCUGUAAAAAUUAAUACCUUUUUUUUUUUUUCGAGAUGGAGUUUCACUCUUGUUGCCCAGGCUGGAGUGCAAUGGCGCUAUGUCGGCUCAGCGCAACCUCCACCUGCCGGGUUCAAGCCUCCCGAGUAGUUGGGAUUACAGGCAUGUGCCACCAUGCCCAGCUAAUUUUGUAUUUUUAGUAGAGAUGGGGUUUCUCCAUGCUGGUCAGGCUGGUCUCCAACUCCCGACCUCAGGUGAUCUGUCUGCCUUGGCCUCCCAAAGUGCUGGGAUUACAGGCAUGAGCCAUUGUGCCUGGCCGAAAUUAAUACUUUUUAUAUUAAAUUUACAUAUAUAUACGUUUUUUCUUUUUGAUACCGGGUCUCACACUGUCACCCAGGCUGGAGUACAGUGGCACAACCUCUGCUCACUGCAGCCUCCACCUGCCAGGCUCAAGCAAUUCUCCUGCCUCAGCCUCCUGAGUAGCUGGGAUUAUAGGUAAGUGCCACCACACCCAGCUGAUUUUUGUGUUUUUUGUAGAGACGAGGUUUUGCCAUGUUUCCCAGACUGUUCUCAAACUCCUGAGCUCAAAGCAGUCCACCCAUCUUGUCCUCCCAGAGUGCUGGGAUUACAGGUGUGAGCCACCUUGCUCAUUCUAGUUUAAACUGUUGAGUGGUUUGUGUCUCCUGAUUGGACUCCUACAAAUACAGAAUUGAUGCUAGGAAGGGUACCAGGAGAUAGACGCAUACAGAUGGGAUUUGGGAAUAGGUUUGGUUAUCCAAGGAGCAGUGCUGAGCUCCUUGCUAAUGGGGUAUGGGAUGCUGGUGAUUUCCAGGAAGUGAGCUCACAAUGACUCAAGCUACCACAUAGUGUUGAUUGUGAAAUGCCAGUUGAAGCAUAUGUCCUGCGAGCUUAGGGGUGCUACAAGUUGACCACUGCAGCAGUAAAGAUGACUCUGAAGAAUGGCAUGGGAUGGAUCCUUUCGAAUGCACUUGAGCAGCGGUCUCCAACCACAGGGCCACAGAGCUGGAGCUGGAUCUACCAUGAAAGACUUCUGAAUCCAGGAAGAGAGACUGACUGGGCAACAUGUUAUUCAGGAGAUGGGGUCUCACCCUGUCACCCAGGCUUGAGUACAGUA